UACGUAGGGUGCGAGCGUUGUCCGGAAUUAUUGGGCGUAAAGAGCUCGUAGGCGGUUUGUUGCGUCUAUCGUGAAAACCCGUGGCUCAACUGCGGGCUUGCGGUCGAUACGGGCGGGCUAGAGUUCGGUAGGGGAGACUGGAAUUCCUGGUGUAGCGGUGAAAUGCGCAGAUAUCAGGAGGAACACCGGUGGCGAAGGCGGGUCUCUGGGCCGAUACUGACGCUGAGGAGCGAAAGCGUGGGGAGCGAACAGG
rnacentral:rRNA from 1 species